UACGUAGGGUGCGAGCGUUGUUCGGAUUUACUGGGCGUAAAGGGCGCGUAGGCGGCAAUUCAAGUCAUCUGUGAAAUCUCCGGGCUUAACUCGGAACGGUCAGGUGAUACUGCUUUGCUAGAGUGCAGAAGGGGCAAUCGGAAUUCUUGGUGUAGCGGUGAAAUGCGUAGAUAUCAAGAGGAACACCUGAGGUGAAGACGGGUUGCUGGGCUGACACUGACGCUGAGGCGCGAAAGCUAGGGGAGCAAACGGG
rnacentral:rRNA from 1 species